CAGUGCGUGUGCGUGCGCGCGCGCCCGGCCGGAAGUGCGCUCGCGUGGAGUUGUGGGCGCGUGGCGGGUUUGCAGGUUGGAAUCUUGGGCAUGGAACCACCACCUGGUGAGCUGAGGCGGGACAGUCAGAGCCCUGUGGAUUCUCAGUGGUGCCACAUCGGAGGUAGAGCCUCAGUACUGGGUGUGGGAUCUGGGCCGAAGAAAGGAGCCCUUGUUUCUCAGCCACACUCACAGGAGGUUAGCCUCAGCGUUAGGUUGAUGGGACAAGAUGAAACUGGAGAUGUCCUGCCCCAGUAAUUUAUCCUUGUGCCCAGAAUGUCAGUGUGAUGGCCGGAACUCCAACAGCCAUCUUAUACCAUGAAGACAAAAGUCUUGGGAUGGAGGAGUGAAAAGCUUGAAGAGCCUGUGUUCCUGAUGAUACCUUAGAGUCUCUAGAGUGCAUUUGUGUAUAGAUGUACACGUUCGAUGAUGAAACCUUACCCCAUGCAAGGCUUAUGAUUCAUUUUUUUAAAGAGUUUAUUUUUUUAUUAAAAUUUUUUAAUGUGUAUUUUUGAGAGAGAGACAGAGCACGAGCGGGG